GCUGCUGAUGCUGCUGUUCUGGCUCCAUGCUUUCAGAGCCACAGAGCUCAUUGUGCGUUCCUUUCCCUCUGGUAUAAUGCCCACUUAGUACUGAAGAAAAAUACAUAAAAUCCCAACUUAAAAACAUAGAGUAAUCCAAACCUUUGUUAAAAAGGUUUAUUGAAAACCUGGGACUCAUUUUUCUCCCAGAGGAAGUACAUAUUAAUUGUCUAGCUCACAAAAUUUAUUUGAGUCUGUUUGCAAGGAAAAGCUGACCAAAAAAACUUAUCGUGGUGGAGUAGUUGAAACAGAAAAACAGUGUACUUGUAGAGGGAAAAAAAACAGUAUUUGUGUAUAUUUAAUCUUGAGAACUGAUGCUUCAGGACAAGUAGCCGGAAGGGGACAAGAGGCCAGGUAGACACUUAGGAGGUUCCCGAAGGUCCUGGGGUGCUUCUGAAAUUCCAAAGAUGUUUAAAUUUGCUGGCAGUGGUUCUUAUCUUUAAUUUUACUUCCAAAUUUGAGGAUUUUCUCUUCUUUGAUGCAAGUGUCUUGAUAGGGUCACUUUUAAUGCUCAGUAGAGGUAUUCAUGGUAAUAUUUUUUUAAUCAGAGGAAUGCAGAGAGGAGGAAGGGGUUUCUGUGAGACGGCUUACCGCUUGGGGCAGGAGAAGGUGGGAAGAGAUGAGAGUGUGGGAAAGAUGCUCCUGAGGUGAAGCGAUCUGAACUAUGAGUGUGGGGGAGGAGGUGGGGAGAGAUGUGGGAAUGGGGGAAAAAUGAGAAAUAAGGAAAAGAAAGGCCAAAGCGAAGCUUUGAGCUCCUCGGAGGUGUUCUGUUAACUUUGUCUUUGACCCAAAACAGGAAUCUUCAGGAGAAAGAAUGGGUGAUUGAUGCAUCAUACUGGCCGUCAAAUGUGUUCCUAUAAAUGCAAGUUGAGUUGUUUUGAAGAGAGGGAUAUAGGAAUAUGAGAGGCUGUAAAAUCAGCCACAUUUAGAUCUGUGGAACAUUUACUGGAUGUCUGCAUAUAUUGCCAUAAAUUACUUCAGUGAAAAGAAUGGCGCUUCAGCCUUUUCUCUUGGUUUCUAAACUUUGUCUCAGAAUGCCUGUCAAGUGGACUCUUGCCUUAUUGAUGUGGAUAACUGUACCUCCUGUUCUUUUUUCAACAGAUUCUACAAAGUUAUCUUUUUUAAAAUAAUAAUUCAUCAUAUGUACUUAAUGUAAAUUUGAGUCUCAGGUAAAGGACCAAUGUAAACACAGUAAAGGAUUUUGUAAGUCCUGCUUUAAACCAAGUUUCAGUUCAUGUAAACAUCCUACACUCAGCUGUACUACAUGAAUUGGCUGGGAGGUGGAUGUUUACUUCAACUGACUUGGAAUAUCAGCCGUUAACCUAGAGUAGAGGAUUUGGCAAGAAUAGUAUGCAGAGGCUUGAUUUUUAAUGUAAUUACUGUAAAUUUAAAUUACUGUCAUAUCUUUUCACUUGUUUUAUUGUAUCUCUAACAUGGCAUGAGACUCUGAGUAUUGGGACAAAAGAAUGUCCUUUGUUGAGUGGGGUCAGAUUCGUAGGCAUUGCAGUGUGCUUUGACGUCAUACAUUUGUACCUGUCUGGGCUCUACCAGUGAAUUCACUAUGUGAUUUGGAGGAGGGAAAGCCACUGUUUCACACCUCGGUGCUUUUCUCAUCUGCAAAAUAGGUAUGGUAUGCACUUGACAGGAUUGUUGUAAUGAUUGACCUAGACGAUGAAUGUAAAGUGGGUCAUUAGUCAGUGCUUGUCACAUUGAGUACUCAGUAAAUGCUGAAACACUAACUGUUAUUAAUGCUCGCCACAAUGCCUCAUCAUAGUAUGUAGCAUAUUUUAGGUGUUCAAUAAAUAACUGCUGUGACUUUUAAACUGGACAUAAGUUGUUUUUAUUUUAGCCACCAAUUUUCUGGCUUAAUGGAAAUGGUUUGAAUCUUUGAUAUCACUGUAAUUCAGUGGCAAAGAAUUUUGAAGCCCAGCUUCUUGAACUCACGUCCUUACCAAGCCACUUACUAGCUUCGUUACUUUAGGGAAGUUAUUACACUCCCAGUGCCUUAGUUUCCUCAGUCUUCUAAACUGGGAUAUAACAGUACCUACCUAAUAAGAUUGUUAGGAGAUAAAAUGAGCCAAUACCAGUCAAGUAUUGGAACAGUUCCUGGUACACACUAAGCUCUUGAUAAAUGGCAGCUAUUGUUGUUAUUAUUUUAAAAACAUGUUCGUCACGUGUUAUUUUUUCCCAGGGUAUAGUUGUGCCAUACAUUUCAAAAUAAAGAGAAGCUCACACUUGAUAAUUAGUUCUAGAUAUGUACUGUUUGGUUUAAAUGAUGCUUUCAUAUUUCAUGCUUUUAUUGAGAAUACUCUACUUAAAAUUAAUUUUCUGUCACUUUGUUUUUCAAGUCCAUGAGAUCAACUUUAAGUUUUCAUUUUUUUGGUGACACGUUCGCGUUCUGUAUAGGUGAAAAACAGAACCACCACCACAAAACCAAAAUUACUUAAGAAGUACACUUUAUUCUAGCAGCUUGGCAAGUGUCCCUAAACUCGUCUAUGCCUGAAUCCAGAAGUAGAAUUCACAUUCGAUGCGUCUCCUAUGGAAGAUGUCUACGUGUUAUGAGAAAUUCACGAUUAAAUAAAAAUGUGUAAUAAAGGCCUGGAGACUUGUUCUUAAAAAAGAUUGGCCCGGAGCUACGAUCUGUUCCCAGUCUUCUGCUGUUUCCUUCAAGAAGAUUGUCACUGAGCUAACAUCUGUGCCAGUCUUCCUCUACUUUGAAUGUGGAACCCCACCGUAGCAUGGCUUGAUGAGCCAUGUGUAGGUACGUGCCCAGGAUCCAAACCUGCCUACCCUGGGCCAGCAAAGCAGAGCAUGUGAACUUAACCACUGUGCCACUGGGCCCCUAGGGCUUUUUAAUUCAUUGCUCUUUUUUCUUUUGUUUAAUGGUCAUGUGUUUAUAUCUUUGUGUUACAUACUUUCCUGAUUAUAUACUGGGAUCCUUGCUUUGCUGCACUUUGUCACUUAGAAAAAGCUCAACAUGAAAGUUGAAUUGUAGUUAAAUGAAAAUUUGAGUAUUUAUCUUGUUUUAAUUAAUACAAUGAAAUAUUGUAAGUUAUACUGAACUGUCCCCCACCCUGAUAGGAAAAUAUAUGCCUGGAUUUCUUUAAAAACUGUGCAUUUAUGGGGCUGGCCCCGUGGCCGAGUGGUUAAGUUCGCGCGCUCCGCUGCAG
rnacentral:lncRNA from 1 species